ACUGUGCCCACGCCCGGGGUCAGGGGCAGGCUGUGCUGAGGCUCCAAGGAUGGGUCCUUCCGGACAACUUCAGGGGAGCUCCAGGACGACAGGUUUGGCUGCUGUAAUUUACAAGUUUCCGAGUUGGUGUCCCUGGAGGCCACGGAAUGCACGCGGUGGUCCAGUUCCUCCUGAAGUUGUCUCACCUGGGCCAUGAGACUGGCCUUGCCCAGGGGACAGUCUUCCAGUUCUUCCUUAUCCUGUGUGAGAGAACAUGGAAAUGAACAGAAAACAGUAAAGAAGGGGGGACAGAGAGAGAACUUCACAGAACAUCUGCACAUGGAAGCCUGCACCACAAGCAGGUGAGUGUGCUCUUGGGAUGUGAGGCUGACUCCGUGCUUGAAAACGCCACCAACACAGUCCACCGUGCUAACAUGGAGAACAAGGACGUGAUUUAGCAACUCUAAGAAAUAUUGAAAGACACCGUUUCUGAAACUCCCUUGUGAGCGCAAACCUGGUGUCAAUCACAUCUGGAAUUGACCUAUUGCUGCAAACACAUUGGGAACUACAGAAAUGCAUGUGCAAGCUGGGAGAUCUCUCUAGGCCUGGUCAGUCCACUCCUAGUGCAGAAGAACCAUGAGCUGAUAAACACCUAUGCAGAAAGGCCAAGACAGAGAAAAAUGACAGCCUGCUCUUCAUAUACAUCAAAAGAGACUGAGUAUAUACAGAGUAUAUAUACAUUAUAUAUAUACAGAAUAUACAGAGAAUAAAUACAGAAUAUAUAUAGGUUCAGUGAGUUCAAGUCACAGAAUAAGGUCGCCACAGCCCUGAGUUCUUCCUGGAGCUGUACCAUUUGUCUUUGUAUGCUGGCAUUUGUCUCCUCGAGGCGCUUAAUUUCUUCUUCUUGGAUUAACAAUUGUUGAUCGGCAAAAUCUUUCUUUAUGACCAAUUCAUUAAACCCAUCUAAUUUUU
rnacentral:lncRNA from 1 species